UUGAACGCUGGCGGCAGGCCUAACACAUGCAAGUCGAACGGUAACAGGAAGCAGCUUGCUGUUUCGCUGACGAGUGGCGGACGGGUGAGUAAUGUCUGGGAAACUGCCUGAUGGAGGGGGAUAACUACUGGAAACGGUAGCUAAUACCGCAUAACGUCGCAAGACCAAAGAGGGGGACCUUCGGGCCUCUUGCCAUCGGAUGUGCCCAGAUGGGAUUAGCUAGUAGGUGGGGUAACGGCUCACCUAGGCGACGAUCCCUAGCUGGUCUGAGAGGAUGACCAGCCACACUGGAACUGAGACACGGUCCAGACUCCUACGGGAGGCAGCAGUGGGGAAUAUUGCACAAUGGGCGCAAGCCUGAUGCAGCCAUGCCGCGUGUAUGAAGAAGGCCUUCGGGUUGUAAAGUACUUUCAGCGGGGAGGAAGGGAGUAAAGUUAAUACCUUUGCUCAUUGACGUUACCCGCAGAAGAAGCACCGGCUAACUCCGUGCCAGCAGCCGCGGUAAUACGGAGGGUGCAAGCGUUAAUCGGAAUUACUGGGCGUAAAGCGCACGCAGGCGGUUUGUUAAGUCAGAUGUGAAAUCCCCGGGCUCAACCUGGGAACUGCAUCUGAUACUGGCAAGCUUGAGUCUCGUAGAGGGGGGUAGAAUUCCAGGUGUAGCGGUGAAAUGCGUAGAGAUCUGGAGGAAUACCGGUGGCGAAGGCGGCCCCCUGGACGAAGACUGACGCUCAGGUGCGAAAGCGUGGGGAGCAAACAGGAUUAGAUACCCUGGUAGUCCACGCCGUAAACGAUGUCGACUUGGAGGUUGUGCCCUUGAGGCGUGGCUUCCGGAGCUAACGCGUUAAAUCGACCGCCUGGGGAGUACGGCCGCAAGGUUAAAACUCAAAUGAAUUGACGGGGGCCCGCACAAGCGGUGGAGCAUGUGGUUUAAUUCGAUGCAACGCGAAGAACCUUACCUGGUCUUGACAUCCACGGAAGUUUUCAGAGAUGAGAAUGUGCCUUCGGGAACCGUGAGACAGGUGCUGCAUGGCUGUCGUCAGCUCGUGUUGUGAAAUGUUGGGUUAAGUCCCGCAACGAGCGCAACCCUUAUCCUUUGUUGCCAGCGGUCCGGCCGGGAACUCAAAGGAGACUGCCAGUGAUAAACUGGAGGAAGGUGAGGAUGACGUCAAGUCAUCAUGGCCCUUACGACCAGGGCUACACACGUGCUACAAUGGCGCAUACAAAGAGAAGCGACCUCGCGAGAGCAAGCGGACCUCAUAAAGUGCGUCGUAGUCCGGAUUGGAGUCUGCAACUCGACUCCAUGAAGUCGGAAUCGCUAGUAAUCGUGGAUCAGAAUGCCACGGUGAAUACGUUCCCGGGCCUUGUACACACCGCCCGUCACACCAUGGGAGUGGGUUGCAAAAGAAGUAGGUAGCUUAACCUUCGGGAGGGCGCUUACCACUUUGUGAUUCAUGACUGGGGUG
rnacentral:rRNA from 1 species